CACAUGCAAGUCGAGCGGAUGACGGGAGCUUGCUCCUUGAUUCAGCGGCGGACGGGUGAGUAAUGCCUAGGAAUCUGCCUGGUAGUGGGGGACAACGUUUCGAAAGGAACGCUAAUACCGCAUACGUCCUACGGGAGAAAGCAGGGGACCUUCGGGCCUUGCGCUAUCAGAUGAGCCUAGGUCGGAUUAGCUAGUUGGUGGGGUAAUGGCUCACCAAGGCGACGAUCCGUAACUGGUCUGAGAGGAUGAUCAGUCACACUGGAACUGAGACACGGUCCAGACUCCUACGGGAGGCAGCAGUGGGGAAUAUUGGACAAUGGGCGAAAGCCUGAUCCAGCCAUGCCGCGUGUGUGAAGAAGGUCUUCGGAUUGUAAAGCACUUUAAGUUGGGAGGAAGGGCAGUAAGUUAAUACCUUGCUGUUUUGACGUUACCGACAGAAUAAGCACCGGCUAACUCUGUGCCAGCAGCCGCGGUAAUACAGAGGGUGCAAGCGUUAAUCGGAAUUACUGGGCGUAAAGCGCGCGUAGGUGGUUUGUUAAGUUGGAUGUGAAAGCCCCGGGCUCAACCUGGGAACUGCAUCCAAAACUGGCAAGCUAGAGUACGGUAGAGGGUGGUGGAAUUUCCUGUGUAGCGGUGAAAUGCGUAGAUAUAGGAAGGAACACCAGUGGCGAAGG
rnacentral:rRNA from 1 species